CGCUGGCGGCGUGCUUAACACAUGCAAGUCGAGCGAGGCCCCUCCUUCGGGAGGGUGUCCUAGCGGCGAACGGGUGAGUAACACGUGGGCAACCUGCCCUCAGCUCUGGGAUAACUCCGGGAAACCGGGGCUAAUACCGGAUACGACCUCCACGGGCAUCUGCGGAGGUGGAAAGUUUUUCGGCUGAGGAUGGGCCCGCGGCCUAUCAGCUAGUUGGUGGGGUAGUGGCCCACCAAGGCGACGACGGGUAGCCGGCCUGAGAGGGCGACCGGCCACACUGGGACUGAGACACGGCCCAGACUCCUACGGGAGGCAGCAGUGGGGAAUAUUGCGCAAUGGGCGAAAGCCUGACGCAGCGACGCCGCGUGAGGGACGAAGGCCUUCGGGUUGUAAACCUCUUUCAGCAGGGACGAAGCGAAAGUGACGGUACCUGCAGAAGAAGCACCGGCCAACUACGUG
rnacentral:rRNA from 1 species